rnacentral:misc_RNA from 1 species
UGUUUCCCAUCUGACCUCUUGCAACGUAAAUCAUCCGGAAUCCCAACCUGAUCUUCACCAUUCCCAGAGGCUGAUCGUGGGUUAUCCAUCAUAGUCACGUAUUAAAGUUCAACAGGAAUUUAAAACUACAGUUUUCUGCUCAAGAAACAGUCUGAGUCUAGGGUUUGACAAAGCGAAUUGGAGGUGUAAGUUGGGAAGAGGUAGAUAAAAGGAGAAGCGUACGAGACAUGGUAUUGUUCGAUAAUAGCUAAGGAUUGAGGAAUCACAGAUUUUAACGGACGGGACGGCCUCCGUUUGUCUCUCCUCCUACUUACGGUUCCCGCUCCAAACUGCUCGUUUCU